rnacentral:rRNA from 1 species
UGCAGUCGAGCGGAUGAAGGGAGCUUGCUCCUGGAUUCAGCGGCGGACGGGUGAGUAAUGCCUAGGAAUCUGCCUGGUAGUGGGGGAUAACGUCCGGAAACGGGCGCUAAUACCGCAUACGUCCUGAGGGAGAAAGUGGGGGAUCUUCGGACCUCACGCUAUCAGAUGAGCCUAGGUCGGAUUAGCUAGUUGGUGGGGUAAAGGCCUACCAAGGCGACGAUCCGUAACUGGUCUGAGAGGAUGAUCAGUCACACUGGAACUGAGACACGGUCCAGACUCAUACGGGAGGCAGCAGUGGGGAAUAUUGGACAAUGGGCGAAAGCCUGAUCCAGCCAUGCCGCGUGUGUGAAGAAGGUCUUCGGAUUGUAAAGCACUUUAAGUUGGGAGGAAGGGCAGUAAGUUAAUACCUUGCUGUUUUGACGUUACCAACAGAAUAAGCACCGGCUAACUUCGUGCCAGCAGCCGCGGUAAUACGAAGGGUGCAAGCGUUAAUCGGAAUUACUGGGCGUAAAGCGCGCGUAGGUGGUUCAGCAAGUUGGAUGUGAAAUCCCCGGGCUCAACCUGGGAACUGCAUCCAAAACUACUGAGCUAGAGUACGGUAGAGGGUGGUGGAAUUUCCUGUGUAGCGGUGAAAUGCGUAGAUAUAGGAAGGAACACCAGUGGCGAAGGCGACCACCUGGACUGAUACUGACACUGAGGUGCGAAAGCGUGGGGAGCAAACAGGAUUAGAUACCCUGGUAGUCCACGCCGUACACGAUGUCGACUAGCCGUUGGGAUCCUUGAGAUCUUAGUGGCGCAGCUAACGCGAUAAGUCGACCGCCUGGAGAGUACGGCCG